UCGAUUGCGAAUUGUUGCCUUCAGUGCUGGCCGCUCGGCAAGUGCACGUUGGUGACUUUCAUCCAAACCCUGUGCACCAUUGGCCUCUGCUAGCUUCGGCCGGCAGAGGUAUUUUUUACACACACUCGAAUGUAAUGAAAUUAUUGUUGUGCGCAAGCACUAAUGUA
rnacentral:misc_RNA from 1 species